rnacentral:rRNA from 1 species
UUGGACUAUCACUGACGCUUAGGCUCGAAAGUGUGGGGAGCAAAUAGGAUUAGAUACCCUAGUAGUCCACACCGUAAACGAUCAUCAUUAAAUGUCGGCUCGAACGAGUCGGUGUUGUAGCUAACGCAUUAAAUGAUGUGCCUGGGUAGUACAUUCGCAAGAAUGAAACUCAAACGGAAUUGACGGGGACCCGCACAAGUGGUGGAGCAUGUUGCUUAAUUUGACAAUACACGUAGAACCUUACCUAGGUUUGACAUCUAUUGCGACGCUAUAGAAAUAUAGUUGAGGUUAACAAUAUGACAGGUGGUGCAUGGUUGUCGUCAGCUCGUGUCGUGAGAUGUUGGGUUAAGUCCCGCAACGAGCGCAACCCCUUUCGUUAGUUGCUUUUCUAGCGAUACUGCUACCGCAAGGUAGAGGAAGGUGGGGAUGACGUCAAAUCAUCAUGCCCCUUAUAUCUAGGGCUGCAAACGUGCUACAAUGGCUAAUACAAACUGCUGCAAAAUCGUAAGAUGAAGCGAAACAGAAAAAGUUAGUCUCAGUUCGGAUAGAGGGCUGCAAUUCGCCCUCU